GCGGGUAAACCUCGUCCAGACUCCUACGGGAGUCGAACCACACCCCCGAUUCUAAUUGCAGACAGACUUCAUCCGGACUCCUACGGGGGUCGGACUUCACCCCUGACUUCAACCGUAGGCAGACUUCAUCCGGACUCCUACGGGAGCCGGACUCCGCCCACGACUCCAAUUGCAGGUAAACUUCGUCUGGACUCCUAUGGGAGCCGGACUCCGCUCGUG
rnacentral:lncRNA from 1 species